rnacentral:rRNA from 1 species
UGGGGAAUCUUGGACAAUGGGGGCAAUCCUGAUCCAGCCAUGCCGCGUGGGUGAAGAAGGCCUUAGGGUUGUAAAGCCCUUUCAGUCGUGACGAUGAUGACGGUAGCGACAGAAGAAGCCCCGGCUAACUCCGUGCCAGCAGCCGCGGUAAUACGGAGGAUGCAAGCGUUAUCCGGAAUUAUUCGGCGUAAAGCGUCCGCAGGUGGCACUUCAAGUCUGCUGUCAAAGACCAGAGCUCAACUCUGGGCAGGCGGUGGAAACUGGGGAGCUAGAGUACGGUAGGGGGAGAGGGAAUUUCCAGUGUAGCGGUGAAAUGCGUAGAGAUUGGAAAGAACACCAGUGGCGAAGGCGCUCUACUGGACCUGUACUGACACUAAGGGACGAAAGCUAGGGGAGCGAAAGGGAUUAGAUACCCCCGUAGUCC